UACGGAGGGUGCAAGCGUUAUUCGGAAUUACUGGGCGUAAAGCGCACGUAGGCGGCCUUGUAAGUCAGGGGUGAAAUCCCACGGCUCAACCGUGGAACUGCCUUUGAAACUGCAGGGCUUGAAUCCUGGAGAGGGUGGCGGAAUUCCUGGUGUAGGAGUGAAAUCCGUAGAUAUCAGGAGGAACACCGGUGGCGAAGGCGGCCACCUGGACAGGUAUUGACGCUGAGGUGCGAAAGUGUGGGGAGCAAACAGU
rnacentral:rRNA from 1 species